AAAUGGAAAUUUUUCAUUGCACCUUCCCAGCUGCAGCAAGUCUCUUCUCAAGUAGAGGCUGCGAUCUCCGAUCAAAACCAGAGUGAAUAAGUACUACUACAAUAGCAGGGGGUUAAAAAACAAUGGCUGAUGAGAGACUGAGGCUAACUUGUAAGACACUUGUCAUAUGCUUCAAGUAUAUUUGACAAUCUUCCUCCAGAAAACUGACCCCUUUCUCACCCUCACAGUCUCUACUCUUGGAUAAAACAUUUCUUUUAUCCAUAAGGUAACUUUCCUGCUGACAGAGGCUAAGGAAAACUGUAGCCAGGGCUGCCUGCAAGGAUGGGUGAGAAGAAUGAGUAAAGUUGUCAAACUGCUUUUGCAUAAGAAACGCUCAAACAUACUGAAUCACUCUUUCCUGGAAAAGAAAUGACAGUGGAGGAUGUGACAGAAGGCAUGAAUUGACCACAGAAACUGGGUGUCUCUGUGAUCUCAAAGGAGCAAAACAGAGGGAAAGUCUUCUGAAACCAUGCUCAGUGCAUAGCAGCACAGGUGAAUGAAAGAAAGAAGGUUCAGAUGUAUUCAUUUAGCCCCCAGCCUAUAAGACGCACCAAGUUUCCCAAAAAGUCACCAUGAGGCUGCAAACAUAUCUUGUGAAGAUGGAUUCCACAGAUGGCUGACCACGAAAGUGUCUGAACCAGAUCUCAAUGCCAUUUUGACUCACUUGGAUUGCUGCGCUGCAAGAAGAGGUGAAGUUGGGGCGAUCAGGAAACUCUGCCACAGUUUUCAUUCAACCUGUAUCUUCUAUGAAGUUGGUAAGAAGUAACUAAGGAGAAGACACCAAGUACUGAAGCACUGAGAAGCGGAGGGGCAGGCAGAGAGCUGAGCUGGACAUGGGAGACAAAAGCCAAAGGAUCAAAGCAUGAAGAGCUAGUCUCCACAGACUGCACCAAACCAAGGGAUAAAUAUGUUUUCUUUUUAAUUUUCUGGCAUUACAGUAUUGAAAGCCAGCCUUAACGGUUGUCCAGCAAGAUUGACUUUUUAUUGUGCUUGUCUAAACUCGUUAAUGAGAACAUUGCUCUUAAAAGUUAGUCUAAGAAAAUACCAAAAUGAGCAAUGCUCCACUUCCUCUCUCAGUCCAUCCCUUUUAUCCAACUUCUUUAGUCUUUUCUUUCCAGCCCUUUGCCUUCUCCUUGGUCUAUUCCUGCUGCCCUCUAUGUGUCAAACUCAUUGAUUGCUUACUGUAAUUAAUGAGUUGAUAAGUCUGGGAGAGUAAGAACCGAACAGUACACCUUUAUUGGCACAUUUCUACACGAUAUUAACACGUGGUGAGUUGCCAGGGAAUUGGAGGGUGGAAAGCGGCCCUUUGGUUGACAAAACCUGGUCUAUUUUUUUUCAUUUCCUUGCUGAUGAGUAGCUUCCACUUAGGAGCCAGCACCAAGUCCCAAGGGGAUUUCAUGGAAAUUGUUAUUAAUAAUCCUCCUGUUUCUCUGUUCAACCUUCCAGCAUGCUGUUUCCUCUUUCUUAUCUUCCUCUAACUUUGAUGGCAGCUUUCCAGGAGCAAUAAAUUCAGGAGCCUGUGUAUCAUUGAACAGAAGUGUCCACUAGCACUCACAGAAGACUUUCUGCCUGCAGACGAGGACAGGAUGACCCCAGUGGCAUUCAGACCCAUGCUUACCCUAUGCAAUGGCUGUCAAAGACCUUUCAGACUCUCUCAUCAGGCAGCACUUCAUUUUUUCUCCCUCCAAAUGUGUAACUUACGAUGUCUUGAUUUUUUCAUAUAUUUAUGACACACUUCCCAGUGUUUUACUCGCCUUUUGGGAUGGAAAAUGCUAGGAAUCCCUUCUACACACA